rnacentral:rRNA from 1 species
GAUGAACGCUGGCGGCGUGCUUAACACAUGCAAGUCGAACGGUGAAGGGGGAGCUUGCUCUGCUGGAUCAGUGGCGAACGGGUGAGUAACACGUGAGCAAUCUGCCCCUGACUCUGGGAUAAGCGCUGGAAACGGCGUCUAAUACUGGAUACGAGCUGCGAAGGCAUCUUCAGCAGCUGGAAAGAACUUCGGUCAGGGAUGAGCUCGCGGCCUAUCAGCUUGUUGGUGAGGUAACGGCUCACCAAGGCGUCGACGGGUAGCCGGCCUGAGAGGGUGACCGGCCACACUGGGACUGAGACACGGCCCAGACUCCUACGGGAGGCAGCAGUGGGGAAUAUUGCACAAUGGGCGAAAGCCUGAUGCAGCAACGCCGCGUGAGGGACGACGGCCUUCGGGUUGUAAACCUCUUUUAGCAGGGAAGAAGCGAAAGUGACGGUACCUGCAGAAAAAGCGCCGGCUAACUACGUG